GAUAAACGCUAGCGGCAGGCUUAACACAUGCAAGUCGAGGGGCAGCAUAGAUUGUAGCAAUACAAUUGGUGGCGACCGGCGCACGGGUGCGUAACGCGUAUGCAACCUACCCGUCACAGGGGGAUAAUCCGGAGAAAUCUGGUCUAAUACCCCAUAACAUAUGGAUCGGCAUCGGUUCAUGUUGAAAUUUUCGGAGGUGACGGAUGGGCAUGCGUAGCAUUAGCUUGUUGGUGAGGUAACGGCUCACCAAGGCGACGAUGCUUAGGGGGACUGAGAGGUUUUCCCCCCAAACUGGUACGGGGACACGGACCAGACUCCUACGGGAGGCAGCAGUGAGGAAUAUUGGUCAAUGGGCGCAAGCCUGAACCAGCCAUGCCGCGUGCAGGAUGACGGCUCUAUGAGUUGUAAACUGCUUUUGUACGAGGGUAAAGUGGGUUACGUGUAACCUUUUGAAAGUAUCGUACGAAUAAGGAUCGGCUAACUCCGUGCCAGCCGCCGCCGUAA
rnacentral:rRNA from 1 species